GGGCCGUUAGCUCAAUUGGUAGAGCGGCAGACUCUUAAUCUGUAGGUUGCAGGUUCGAUUCCUGCACGGCUCA
rnacentral:tRNA from 1 species